GUGAGGGGGUGACUAGUGACAGAGUGAGGGAAGGGGUGACUUGUGGCAGAGUGAGGGAAGGAAGGCGUGACUAGUAACAGAGUGAGGGAGGUGGUGACUGUCACUAGUCACCAGCUCCCUCACUCUGUCACUAGUCACCACCUCCCUCUGUCACUACUCCCUCCCUCCCUCCUUCUGUCACUAGUCACCCCCUCCGUCCCUUACUCUGUCACUAGUCACCCCCUCCCUCUGUCACUAGUCACCCCCUCAC